GACGAACGCUGGCGGCGUGCUUAACACAUGCAAGUCGAACGGGUCUGCCCUGUUUUUUGCGGGGUGGGUCAGUGGCGAACGGGUGAGUAACCCGUGAGUAACCUGCCCCUCACUUCUGGAUAACCGCUUGAAAGGGUGGCUAAUACGGGGUGUUCUGGCUGUGCCGCAUGGUGUGGCUGGGAAAGAUUCACUUUUGUGGUGUUUUGGUGGGGGAUGGGCUCGCGGCCUAUCAGCUUGUUGGUGGGGUGAUGGCCUGCCAAGGCUUUGACGGGUAGCCGGCCUGAGAGGGUGGGCGGUCACACUGGGACUGAGAUACGGCCCAGACUCCUGCGGGAGGCAGCAGUGGGGGGUAUUGCACAAUGGGCGGAAGCCUGAUGCAGCGACGUCGCGUGAGGGAUGGAGGCCUUCGGGUUGUGAACCUCUUUCGCCGGUGAAGAAGGUCCUGCUCUUUGUGGUGGGGUUGACGGUAGCCGGGUUAUGAAGCGCCGGCUAACUACGUG
rnacentral:rRNA from 1 species